GUGUCAGCCGCCGCGGUAAUACGUAGGGGGCAAGCGUUGUCCGGAAUUAUUGGGCGUAAAGAGCGUGUAGGCGGCUUGGUAAGUCUGCUGUGAAAGUCCAGGGCUCAACCCCGGAACGCCGGUGGAAACUGUCAAGCUAGAGUCCGGAAGAGGCGAGUGGAAUUCCUGGUGUAGCGGUGAAAUGCGCAGAUAUCAGGAGGAACACCAAUGGCGAAGGCAGCUCGCUGGGACGGUACUGACGCUGAGACGCGAAAGCGUGGGGAGCAAACAGGAUUAGAAACCCGAGUAGUCC
rnacentral:rRNA from 1 species